rnacentral:lncRNA from 1 species
GGGCAGAAGAUCUGAGAACCGUUCUGAAGAUUGAUCCUGGUAAUAGAAUUGCAAGAAGUACUGUCCAUCGCUUGGCUAAAAUGGCGGACUAGAAGGUCUUUAUGAUUCAUUUGUUUGUAUUAGCUUUCUUCACGUAGGUUGAUACCUUUUUCCCCUCAUACUAUGAACAGAAUUAAGGGGGAAUAAUAACCUUUUUCCCUGGAUACAUGUGUCUUUCAAUAUGUCUAGUUGCGGAGGGUUUUCAUGGUUCAAUAUUAUAUCUUGUCUUGUUUGUGAUUUGGAAUUGGCUCGUC